GCCAGACUCCUACGGGAGGCAGCAGUGGGGAAUAUUGCACAAUGGGGGAAACCCUGAUGCAGCGACGCCGCGUGAGUGAAGAAGUAUUUCGGUAUGUAAAGCUCUAUCAGCAGGGAAGAAAAUGACGGUACCUGAUUAAGAAGCCCCGGCUAACUACGUGCCAGCAGCCGCGGUAAUACGUAGGGGGCAAGCGUUAUCCGGAUUUACUGGGUGUAAAGGGAGCGUAGACGGUGAUGCAAGUCAGAAGUGAAAGCCCGGGGCUCAACUCCGGGACUGCUUUUGAAACUGUGUGACUGGAGUGCAGGAGAGGUAAGCGGAAUUCCUGGUGUAGCGGUGAAAUGCGUAGAUAUCAGGAGGAACACCAGUGGCGAAGGCGGCUUACUGGACUGUAACUGACGUUGAGGCUCGAAAGCGUGGGGAGCAAACAGGAUUAGAUACCCUCGUAUAG
rnacentral:rRNA from 1 species